rnacentral:lncRNA from 1 species
CUGAAAUCUGAUCUUGGUUUGGAAGUACUUAUUGCGAUUAGCUGUUUAAAUAAUGUUCUUUUUUCCUUUUUAUAGGUCCUUUUAUUCUGUGUAACAGCUGCCCUGUUUAUGUUCUUUUUCAGCAAGGAUGGUUUGAAAGGAUUUACAUUCUCGGCACUGAAAAACUGGAGGUAAACAUCAGUUUCUGGCAAUAUGAGUCAUAAAUGGGUGAUGUGACUAUGGGAUGCUACAAACAGCGAUAAAUGCAUGUGAUUACC